UGGAAAGGAUGAUCAGGCAGGCUUAGGGU
rnacentral:piRNA from 1 species